UAGUUAUCAAGAAAGGUGGAGGGAAUAGACCCGUUGAAGCCUUAGCAACCCUUGACCCUAGUCAAGAAGGUGCUACAUUCUAUCCCUUUGGGAAUAGAUAACAU
rnacentral:ncRNA from 2 species